GAUGAACGCUGGCGGCGUGCUUAACACAUGCAAGUCGAACGAAGCACUUUAUUUGAUUUCCUUCGGGACUGAUUAUUUUGUGACUGAGUGGCGGACGGGUGAGUAACGCGUGGGUAACCUGCCUUGUACAGGGGGAUAACAGUUGGAAACGACUGCUAAUACCGCAUAAGCGCACAGUAUCGCAUGAUGCAGUGUGAAAAACUCCGGUGGUAUAAGAUGGACCCGCGUUGGAUUAGCUAGUUGGUGAGGUAACGGCCCACCAAGGCGACGAUCCAUAGCCGACCUGAGAGGGUGACCGGCCACAUUGGGACUGAGACACGGCCCAAACUCCUACGGGAGGCAGCAGUGGGGAAUAUUGCACAAUGGGCGAAAGCCUGAUGCAGCGACGCCGCGUGAGCGAAGAAGUAUUUCGGUAUGUAAAGCUCUAUCAGCAGGGAAGAUAAUGACGGUACCUGACUAAGAAGCACCGGCUAA
rnacentral:rRNA from 1 species